GGGGCUGCGAAUGAAGACACGUGUGCCAUGCACUCCGCUCUCCUUCGCGAUUGGGCUCAGUCCGUUCCAUCCGGACCUCAGUGCGGACGAGAGACCGGUACUGAGAGCCAGAGGAGAAGAGGUUACAUCUAGGGGAUUCUUUCUAGUAGGCCUGCCAUAGGUUUGCGGUUGUUCUUGCUUUGGGUGUGGAGCUCAAUUCCAAAAGGCAGUGGAGAUCCUCUGCUGAAAAUAGUCUUGCUAGCCCCUGGGCGGAAACCCUGGGGGAAAGGGUACCAACGAAGAUAAUGGAAGGUCGAAAUAACAGAUGACUAGAUGGAGGGAACUAGCGUCCAGAAUUCUGCAAGAAGCUGGGGAGUCUCAUGUACUUGCUUGCUACGAAGGGCAGAACUGAGUUAAACAACAUUGUCACCGUUAAUUGUUGGCAUCAGAUUAAUACUGUGCCGGGGUCGCAUUAUUAAACCAACCAGGAUACAGAUACACAAGGCAAACUAAAGGUUUCAACUGCUAUUCAGCGCCUCCUCAUUUGUCCCGGAGCCCUAACACUGGUGCCUUUUCUUUCCUGGCUGCUUUUCCCUGCUUCUGGAGCAGCAGUUAUGGUAGAAGCAGAUGGCUACUGAUUGGGUGAGCUUUGUGGCUUUAAUACUGAAUACUUUAUGGAAAAGGACUUUAUCAUGCUUGGUUGGUCAGAGGCACAACGGGAUGAGAUUUAUGACUAGAGAAAAUAAAUCUCUUUACGUUUCAGGCUCCUUCACACCCUGUGUCAACUUGCUCUAGCAAAGCCAGGGCUGGAAAACCCCGCAUCUUUCCCCUCCCCCCGUCUUUUCUCCCAAAGUUGAGCAAACGCCUGAAAACUUCAGGAAUUCUCACUCACUGAAGCAGCUGCAUCAGCUCUUAAGGCUGUGGUGGGAGGGAAAGUUAAUUGCUAGCUAACAGGCUGUGGUGUCAUAAUGGUGGAUCAAAAUAUGUUCAGAAUUCAAGCUGAUCCCCUAGGUGGGCUGGGAUGCGGACCUGAAGAUUACACGGUUAUAAAUCCACGCUGGGAGAUUCUGAUGGUGGCAUCCUAAUAAGCCACGCAAUGCAGGGUGGCCACCAGGCUUUGCUCAAGGAGACUUUUGGGUCAGGCUGCUGGUGGCCUCCCCUCCCUGGAUGUAGAACACACCUACACUAUGGGCGAGAUUUUCAAAAGAACUCAGCGUUGGUCUCACUCUGCUCCCGCUGGAGUCAAUGGGAGUUUUACUGUCAUCUUCAAUGGGACCAAAUUUAGACCAAAGCCCAGUGCUUCUGACCGACACAGCUCUCUCAGUGUUCUGACUACACACAGCUAGGUACUUACAUCCUUAAAGCAUGACUCAAUUUCUUUUAUCUACCUAUCUACCUAUCUAUCUAUCUCCAUAUACCCCCUCUAUUUAAUCUAUCUAUCUAUUGUUUUACUGUUUCUACAUGCUCAUCACUUGUAUCUAAGCACUGAAGACAUUACCUGUGUCCCCAAAUUGCACAAAAGACAGUGAAGGAACAUGGUCCUUGGUCAUGGUAAAGGUCCCAUCUAUAUUACAUGCUUUUAGCAAUGAUUGGCGAUGAUGUAACCAGGGCCUUUGAGGUCAUUGUGUUUCUAGGGCAGAUGGACCUUUAGACACAGCAGGAUUUAGCAUAGACUCUGGCCUUAGAGGCACUUCCCCUUCAACUCCUCCCACACUCAUUACCUCACAUACUACUCCAUUGUGGAGGCAUUCCCCAUAUCAAAAUAUAAAUUCUUGUUUAGCAUUUUUAAAGCAAUUAACAAGCCACGGAUUUUUUUUUUUCACAUUUCUCAAACUGUCCUUAGCAUUUCUACCAGGUAAACAUCCUAGGAACAGAUUUUCAAAAGAAAACUAGUGAUUUUGGAUUCCUUAAAUUUUGGUAGCCAUUUUUGACACACGUUAAAGGUACUUGAUUUUCAGAAGGCAGAUGUUUAGCAUUUGCUGAAAAUUCAAACUGUUCCACACCCAGAAUAAUAAAUCACUUCUGAAAAUCUCAGUCUGACAUUUUCCCCCAAUCCUUUUAAGAUCACAAUUAAUAAAUGUUUGGUAAACGCAUUUUCCAGUCAUGUCGCAAUUAUUUAUUGAAUGCUUUGGAGAAUAUACAUUUUUGUAGAUCUAAAUAGUUCCUGAGCACUUGCUAAGCUUUUCUCAAGUCUGAAGCAUGCUGGAAGCGUUUCAUCGGAAGGUCAAGUGCAGUUGGGGGCUGGAGAAAUAGCAGAGAGGAAAGGAGAAGGUGCCUAUGGUUUGGAUCUUUCUCUGUAAUUUUCUGUACAUUGGAGUAGAGAGGGCUUUAAUAAACCUGUAUGAGGUAUCUAAGGUGCCUUAGGUUUUUGUUGUUGGGACAGAGAUUGUUUUAUCUUUGUGGGAGUGAGUUAUAGCAAAAGUCUGAGUCUGUGGAGAGUAAACUUUAGAGUCAUGGUUUUUCAAAUGAAAAUUUGGGAAAUCUUUCCAAAUAUCAUUGACCUAUAUAGCAGAAUGGUGGCUAAUGCGGGGAAGGGAAAUAUAAAAGGAAUGGAAAUGUGGGACUUGUCUUGGAGUUGAGUUGAGAAAAGGGUGAGGAGACUGUGUAGUGGGACUAGUCCUUCAGCAAGGCAUCAAAUUCAAGAAAAGCAUUGGAGGUACUACUUAAAACAUGUCCAUAACUGUGUGUGGAACUGGUCAGUAAGUGUUUGUUCACUGAAAUAAUUCCUCUACACACAUGUUGGUGAAGUGCUUAUCAAUAUACUGGGGGAUAUUUAAAUGGCCACUUGCUUACUGGUAAUGUUUCCCUAAGGCCCAGGUGAUGCACGGCUAUAAGUACUUAACAAAUACAUGGAGGACUGUGUGGUAUUUUGUCUCAAGUCACUUUCUUCCAAGAUGUACCCAUCCAUUUUAUGGGCUCAUCUACCGUGUACUCUGUCCCUGAGAUACUUACCUCAACUUUAUGCACUCCCCCAAGUGAUGACCAUGCCUUUGAGAAAGACUAUUCCCCCCACUGUGAGACACCAAUCUAAACAAGAGAUCUCUUCCUUUGAUAAGACAUCUGGGAUACCAUGUCAAUGCCUUAGCCAUCAUCCAAACCACCCCCAUUAAAGCAGACAUCAAGGACACCGCUCGCUUCUCUGUGGGACACCUACAUCUCUCAGACAUGCUUCCCACUCCCAUGAAACAGAGAAGUAUACACGAGACUGCUGUCAGACAGACUGAAAGGGUUUGGCUACGGUGUUAUGAGGAUUUUGAUGAACUGCUCUCUCCAUCUCAUUUUUAUAAGAGCUGGACAGUGGAGCAUGUUUGCUUACCCAGUGCUUAACUAAGACAGGGAUUUAGAUGAGACUGAGAUGCCUGAGGCAAAACUCAAAACAAGAUGGAUGUGAUGCCAAUCGGGUGAGGGGAAACAUCCAGAAGAAAUGGAACAUGUAAGGUCUGAUUCCUCUAUUAUAGGGGUUGGUGGUUCUAAAUUCUACGAGUCCUUUUGAACUUCUGGUUGCUUCUGGGUUUCUCAGGUAGCACCAAAAGCCUGAAGAGUCGUUUCCCACUGUAUCCAAGAGGUUGUGACCAAAUAAAGUUAUCCAUGUCUAUUGUACCUCCAAAUUAGAUGCUGCUGUAAUUUCUUCUCCAUGGAGAUUCCCUCAAGGAGCAUUCAGAAACUUCAGCUGCAGCGGAAUGAAACAGUCCAUUUACUUAGCGGGGUGUGACGUGUGGAUCACGUUACACCUGUGUUCCAUAAACUGCUCUGGCAACCAAUUUGUUUCUGGAUUCACUUCACUUGAUUUUACUUGAUAAAGCCUUAUAUUGUUUGUGUCCUGGUUAUUUUAGAUACCGCCUAUUUCCUUAGCCCUCUGCAGUAUUUGAGAUCAGCUGAGCUACCCUACCUAAAAGUCCCCAGAUUUGAAUGAUAGCAGAUGAAGGCAGGACAUAACCAAGUGGCAGGGCCUUGAUCUAGAGCUUCCUUCCUAUGUACUUCCAACAAACCCUGAAAAGCUUAUAUGUUCCCUCAGGCCUAGUAUAAGUAAAAGGUAUGGUUGAGGUGAGUUUCUUCUCUGGGUUUAGACUUUUCCCAGUGGUUAUUUUUAUUUGAUUAGUGUAAUUCGUUAUAAAAAUGCAUAGACAUGAUUGAUGGGUGCAUAUUUUGGAAAAGGAUACUUCCUCAGGCCUCCGUUAUUCUCACCCCAAUGAAAAGAGAAGCAGCAAGAUUUGAGGCAGCAUUUACCAUUUGGAAGUGGGGAAUCAAAAGCAUCUUUUCCACCUCCUUCCUGAAAUAUAGGUGGAGCAGAGAAGGCCUUUCAGGACCAGGUCUGAAAGAUAUGCCCUAUCUCAACUGGGAAUGCAGGAAUAAAUGGGAGAAAUUCCAUAGCCUAUGUUAUGCAGGAGAUCAGAAUAGGUGAUCAUAGUGGUCCCUUCUGACUUUAAAAUCUAUUAAUCUAUGAAGAAAGAACUUUGUACUACAAGUUUGUAUGCAGUAAAUUGAUCUGAUUCUAACGAAUCUGGGGGUGGGGGAGCAUUAUUUGACAUGGCUAAGGAUGGAUUACCUGCCUAUCUAUCUAGCUUGCCUAUCAUACUCAUCCCCGUGGUAACUUUACAUUGAAGAAAAAUCUUUAAUUGAAUGUGACUUUUUUAAAGGAUAAGUAAUUUUUAGGUGGACAAACUACAUUCGAGAAAAUAAUCCAUUUCACUUUACACAGACUUAUUUUUCUGCUCUGCCUCUAAUAUGGCAGAGCAAAAUCUUAGGGAAGCUCCUGAUAAUUCCUCUUUUACCUAUUUCAACUACUUUUUCCUUCCUAUGAGUAAGAAC